rnacentral:rRNA from 1 species
UACGGAGGGAGCUAGCGUUGUUCGGAAUUACUGGGCGUAAAGCGCGCGUAGGCGGCUUUGUAAGUUAGAGGUGAAAGCCCGGAGCUCAACUCCGGAACUGCCUUUAAGACUGCAUCGCUUGAAUCCGGGAGAGGUGAGUGGAACUGCGAGUGUAGAGGUGAAAUUCGUAGAUAUUCGCAAGAACACCAGUGGCGAAGGCGGCUCACUGGCCCGGUACUGACGCUGAGGUGCGAAAGCGUGGGGAGCAAACAGG